UACCAGCACCCCGAGUGGGCGGGACGAUUAUUGGGCCUAAAGCAUCCGUAGCCGGUUUUACAAGUCCCCCGUUAAAUCCAGCUGCUUAACAGAUGGGCUGCGGAGGAUACUAUAAGACUAGGAGGCAGGAGAGGCAAGCGGUACUCAGUGGGUAGGGGUAAAAUCCGUUGAUCCAUUGAAGACCACCAGUGGCGAAGGCGGCUUGCCAGAAUGCGCUCGACGGUGAGGGAUGAAAGCUGGGGGAGCAAACCGG
rnacentral:rRNA from 1 species